rnacentral:lncRNA from 1 species
GGUUGUUAUUGCUGAUUUGUUCCCCCGUUCCUUCAGUCUAUAAAUCUUAAACAUGUAUUUAUCUAUUCUUUUCUUCCUUAUUCAAAAGUGGUGCUUUCUUGGUACCUAUUCUUUAAAAAUAUAUUGUGUUAAAAAUUUCAAACUCCACAAUAAUCUUUUUGAAAAAUGAUGUUAUAGGUAUAUCACAUGCUAACACAAGAGCACUCAUCAUGGCAGGAGUAGUGCUAAUGCCUUCAACACAAGGGCUACAACUGAAUAUUUCACAUUGGCUUACUCAUGAGUCUUAGCUUUAGAUUCAAGAAAAUCAAAGCCAUCAACAAAAUCACUUAUUAAUGCAUGCAUAUCCUUUGUCAGCUGCGUUGAGGAACUUGUCUGCAAAAGAUAUAAGAUACUUUCACAUUAAUUGCCCAAGAAUAGUUAAGUUAGACUCCUGUGAGACAACAAACAAUAAGUAAAAUAACUCAUAUUGUUUUUCCCUUUUUUCUUCAGAACUUCCAUUCAAAUGAAGAGAUAUUGCAAGUUAUCUCUAACAAAUGCCUUUGUCACAUAAAUAGGAAUGCCCUGAGAUCGUGC